CAGAGCAGGAGGAGGAAAACUGAAGGCUGAGGCAGGACUGACUGAAGUCCAGAAGAUGAGUGUUUGUGUAGAGGAAGAAGAGGACAGAGCAGAGUGUCCAGGAUCCAGCUGUCUGUCUAUGAAGAGUGACUCGUCCAUAGACUUAAAUCCUCCAAAGUUUAGUAAUGAACCUGGACCCUCAGACACAAAACUGACUGAAGUCCAGAAGAUGAGUGUUUGUGUGGAGGAAGAAGAGGACAGAGCAGCGUGUCCAGGAUUCAGCUAUCUGUCUAUGAAGAGUGACUCGUCCAUAGACUUAAAUCCUCCAGACUUCAGUAAUGAACCUGGACCCUCAGACACAAAGUAAGAGAACUGCUACAAACCUGUGAACCUCCAAACUGUGGGCUGUAACAGUGUUUAAUGCUGCACCCUCACCUGGCUUUUUAAAGGCAGGCAUAUCUAUCCCCACCCAUUCCUGGGUGGAGUUACAAACCUAAACCAGGCCUCUAGGCCUAACUCAACCCUGACAAGAAGAAACUAGAUCAAUACAGGAUAAGUCAAAACCAAAACUCAAGAGACCAGAACCAAAGUGAAAUUAUUUAAAAAAUAAAACAGGAAAGUACUACCAACACUUAAGAAACUGAACAAAAGUCAUCAAGAGUCCAAGGGCUAUAAAGAGUUUAACCAAAAGUCCAAAAGAGUUCAAAAACAGCUGUCAAGACGUCCAAAACAGUCCUCUUAGGGGCUGAUUGUCACAGUAACAGCUGAUGUAGAGUCGGCAGAAAGUAAGUUCUGUCAGGUUCUGUUGACACAUCAUAUAGCACCAAAUGUGGAUCAAUCUGCUGAUCAAAAUAGUCCCCAAGAAAUCUGACACUUCCUCCUGUUUGUCUGAUAAAAAAUACAGACAACAGGUGGCUUAGGAAAUUACUGAACUUUUUAAAGUAUCUAUAAAGAUUUUCAUCUUCAGUAUGAACAUUUAAUAAUUAACUGACAGAUAUGUGUUGUUUAUGGAUGCUGGUGUGUUGCCUCCAUCCUUCAGUAUAGUGUUCAGUGCUACAUGGUGACGUUGCUGCAGGACGUCA